rnacentral:lncRNA from 13 species
CACAGAAAAACGUGACAGUAGAUCGUGCUUUGUGAGUCUCACCCUCUUCCUACGAAAAUAUGUCCUUCAGUCUCUUUUGAAAGGAAGCAGUCAAAAGUUUGCUAAAUAUACGAAAAGGAAUUCUCAGUCGAGAGGGGCUUCCUGCUGCACUGGAGUAUCUAAUGAGCUGUGCACACGGAAACCUCAGGGAAGGAGAGAACCUGUCAUGUUCACGGGCUGUAAACACAGCCUGAGAUUAACACUGUGCAGACAUCCCCGCUCCAGUAAUGCCUUGGAAUGCCACAGAGCUCUUGGAAACCAGAAGGGUGGCACACGGCUGCCAGAGUGUGUCUUGUGUGGACUAGGAGAAGUCAGCUGAAAUGGCAGGCUGGCUCACACUGAGCUCUUAGCCGCUGUCGCAGUAAGGGAUGGAAGCAGAAGGUGGAAAGCUGGAGAAGCUCCGAUCUCUCACUGGAGAGAGGGGAGGCUGUGAAGGCGCUCGCUGAAUGCCGGCAGAGCGGAGCGAGCCAAAAUGUGGAGCCAGCCCCCAGCAGCACAGCAGCAGGGAGUUCUCAGGAGGAUUCCUGCAGCAGCCUACUGCUUUUAAAAGCUGGUCAAUAAACAUUAGAUAAAAAUGGAUGUUUCUUUGUCAGUGCGUUUAUCUGGACUUCAGUUACAUUGGGCACUAGCCGGGAGACAUAAAAUGUCUUGUACUGGUUUAUUAAAGAGGACCUUUAAUUACCUUAUUAAGAACUGACCAUUCUCUCCAAGUAAAUGAAAAUCCAAAUCUGUCAGUGCAGUUCAGUGAUGAUUAUUUGCAUCCUGAACAGCAAAGGGCCCAGUGGUGCUGUAGAGAGGCUCCAAUGUCCACAAACUCCCCUCAUGGUGAAGGCAUUUUAAUGUCUCCUUUCUGCAGACACCAUCUGCUCAGUGUGGCUUUUCGAAUGGGAUUUGGGGUAAAACAAGUGUUUGAAUGGAAACCUGGCUUUUGGGUCUUGAAGUGGAGUACUGACCUCCUGUUUGGGUUUUGAUUUGAGUUUAAAAGCAGCUGUAGGGUAGGAUGAUGAAUUUGGGGGUAACUUGCUGACUCUGCUAGGAUGAGGAAAUGGAGAAUCCUGCAGCACUGCCUCCCAACCUACCCAGUUUAAUUCAGAUAUGGGGGACCAGGGAGGCAAAGCACAGGCAGCGCUGACCCUGAGUUUGUGCUGUUUCAUACUGAACCACAAACUGGCAACUCAGCUCCUUGAACGGAGACUUGGUUUUGUGACUGUGGCCAAAUGACAACUGCAUAAACAAAGCACAGGUGCUGCUGAAUGAUGUUGACAUGGGCUUCCUGAGACCUUCCCCUGCCGUGACUCAGGCCCUUGUCCCUCAUGUGCUCAAGACACAUCCACACACAAAGAAUGUUCAGGCAGUCUGCUUCUGGCACACUGGCUUGCUUUUUAAUUUUUUUUUAAUUAUUGGUUGUUAAUCCCACUGAGCCAAAGGGUAUAGAUUUUACUGAAGGGGAAAAUUGCUUGUUGAUAUCCAAAUAACCUAGAAGAGACUUGGAGGCAGAAGGUGCAUUUACCUGCUAUUAACACACCUAAACCCAAACACGAUAACCUGGACAAGGCACUUCUCUUUGCCCUGCAGCACAGUUGUUUAAAAUGACCCAUUAAGGAUCAAAAUAUGCAUCAGCUCAGAGAAACCCUCCCCUGCAUAACUCAUCACUUCCCUGGGACCGCUGAGUGGGACAGCACAGGGCAGCAGAGCUCACAAGGGGUGUUGGAUGGGCCACAAGUCAUAGAAGCAACAGGACUGAUGAGAAAUAACCUACUUUAGAAGCUACAUUGACCUCUUACUUUUCACAGGGCUUUUCACCCUCUUAAGUAUCACAUGAGUUAUGUAUGACACUGGUGGUUGUGGUUUAUGCUUGUUGCAAGCACCCGUUCCAAGGGGAUAACACAAAAAGAAAGAAACAAGGUUAUAUUCAAGAUCUGAUUUAGACUGUAACUCCCGUGGUGAUCACGGCUGAUGCUCCUCUCUCUGCAGCUCUAAAUGCCAAGAUCCUCCUCCAGAAACACCACGGCCAGAAGGUACCAGAGGGCCGGUGUGAGUUAACCGGUAAUAGCAGCAGGAGCCACG